UUGCUCACUGCAGCAGCCCAUAUACUAAAACUCUAAGGAUACAGAGAUGAUUAGUGUGGCCACAAGGAUGACAUGCAAAUUCAUGAACCCUUCCAUAUUAUU
ensembl:snRNA U6 U6 spliceosomal RNA